AGCGGGGGAAGGACUUCGGUCUGCCCCUAGCGGCGAACGGUCGCGUAACACGUAGGCAACCUGCCCCAAAGACCGGGACAACAGGGGGAAACUCUUGCUAAUACCGGAUGUGGUCACAGAGGGACAUCCCUUUGUGAGUAAACCGCGCAAUCGGCUUUGGGAGGGGCCUGCGGCCUAUCAGCUAGAUGGUGAGGUAACGGCUCACCAUGGCGACGACGGGUAGCUGGUCUGAGAGGAUGGUCAGCCGGACUGGGACUGAGACACGGCCCAGACUCCUACGGGGGGCAGCAAUUAGGAAUCUUGCACAAUGGGCGAAAGCCUGAUGCAGCGACGCCGCGUGGAGGAGGACGGCCUUCGGGUUGUAAACUCCUUUUGUCAGGGAAGAAACAAAUGACGGUACCUGACGAAUAAGCCCCGGCCAACUCCGUGCCAGCAGCCGCGGUAAUACGGAGGGGGCGAGCGUUGUCCGAAGUUACUGGGCGUAAAGCGCGCGUAGGCGGGUCGAAAAGUCCGCUGUGAAAGCCCGAGGCUUAACCUCGGCGGGUCGGUGGAUACUUUCGGUCUUGAAGGUGCUAGGGGGAGAUGGAAUUACCGGUGUAGCGGUGAAAUGCGUAGAUAUCGGUAGGAACACCAGUGGCGAAGGCGGUCUCCUGGGGCAUUCUUGACGCUGAGGCGCGAAAGCUGGGGGAGCGAACGGGAUUAGAUACCCCGGUAGUCCCAGCCCUAAACGAUGGAUACUAGGUGUCGGGGGUAUCGACCCCCCCGGUGCCGCCGCUAACGCAGUAAGUAUCCCG
rnacentral:rRNA from 1 species